rnacentral:lncRNA from 1 species
CCUUGCUGCUCCCCCUGCCAGCAAAGUUAGUACCUCCAACAUGACUCCUGCUGCCAGAAGUGAUAAAGUAAUGACAGUGACACCUGCUAGGUCCAGGAAUGGUGGUGAGGACUUAAAACGUCUUUACUCCUCACUUCAAUCUUAAAGGUGAUGAUAAAUGUGAUCGCUUGAUUACGAUGGUACCCACCAGCUCUCUUCCCCACGAAGAUGAUUUUUCCCUAUUCAAAUAAUCAGCUUUCAGUGAGAAAAUGUGAAAGUGCCACUGUGGAGCCCUGGAACAGGUGCCAUCCUCAGGUCUGUAGCAGAGGAAGCUGGGGACAUCGAAUGAGCUAAAGCCACCCUCCCAGGGUGAGGCGACUAGUACACGGUGGAGCCAGGAUGGAAACUGAGGCGGGUUUGGAGGCAGGUCUGAGACGUGCAUCUCUCCCAGUCCUCGCUUACGUGGGCAAAGUGCCCAACCCCUCUGAGUCUCGGUUUCCCCGAGCAGAGUGCUGUCUCCCACAGAUGCUGUGGGAUUUCACAGGAUGGUCCCAUAGUGCUCCCGUGGUGUCUGAUGCCUGCGAAGGACUCAGUGACUAUUAAGUAGUGUGUGUCAUUUAGAGGGGGCUCCUCUCACCUCCCCUGUCCCCUGAUGCCCACCUUUUAGCUGGAAAGGGAAGUUUUAGACAAAUUAAGAGAAAUCUCUCUGCAGUGAAAGGUGGAACUUAGACUCUUAAUGUUUUACAGCAUCGUAGAGACCAUUAACCCCGUGUUCUCGAACCCGACUGCACCUCAGGAUAGCGAGGCAUCUCCUGCGGGAGACGCAGCUGUCCUGCCCGGCUCUGACACUGCUCCCGCAGUGCAGGGACAGGGGGACAGGGCCCAGCAUUGGCCUGUGGGCAGGGCUGGCAGCACGUGUCUGCCGAGGCUCGUCCUGCCGUUUCCUCGGUCCUCCUCGUGGGACCCUACUCUUCACCGCCCUGGGCGGAGGGGAGGAGAGGCCGCUCUCCAAGGGGGCCAGACUAAGUUGAUAAAAGCUUUCCAAAUGUUCUGACGGUUGACAUACAUGCAAUUACACGUAGGUUUCCUGUGGGAGUUUGACUUCAUGUUAUCACUACUGCAACACUGAGGGACUUAGAAAGUCCGCGAACUUGAACCUUGGGCUGUGUGCUCUGCCUUCCCAUGCUCCUCACGUGAGCUACAUCCCCAAGAGCCUACACAUGGUUCUAACGGGCAACUCUUCUCCUAAAACCCAUCCCACUCUCUUUGGUCUUGCUUCCUUAUUCUUGAAUUACGACGAUUCUUCACUUGGGGCCUUUCACCCCUUGCCGUGACCUGUGUUUAUAGAGCCAUCGCUGUGUGUGGAAGAGACUAUUCUGGAACACUCAUGUAGGAGCCUUUCCCUCUGCUCUGCUCAGCAACACUGAAGAUGACGCCUAUGAGCUAGUGUUAAGACAAAUGAACAAAAUGACCUGAUGCGCAAACUGAUGUAGAGAAAAACUACACGAGCUGGCUAUUGUGAUCCAUCCAUCUUCACAGUCUAGCUGAGUGGAUCUACCCUUCUCACCCAACACACACUCACUCACACAUGCAAACUCAUUCACACCCGCAUACACUCAGACACGUACACAUUUGUUCACACACUCACUCUCGCACACUCAUGCACUUGCUCACAUCACACACACAUAUUUGCUCUCACACACUCUCCAUGCUGUGGUCAUAUUGCGCCUCCUUUCCCAGGCUGCCCCUGGAGCAUUUUCACCUGCCCUCGGGUAUAACAGGAGUGCUGAUGGAAGGGUCCCCAGGUUGGGAUGGCCCUCCGUGUGCCCACGCUCCAUCUCCUGCAGCCACCUCCUGCUUCCUAGGUAGGACCUCUCUGAAAUCCAGGCCCCUGGUCCUAGGGGAUCUCCAUUUGAAAUUAAGAAAUUAGGAGUUUAAGAGUCUGGCAUUUAUCUCAAUACCACUAAACUGACUGUGGAGGACAGACUGCAAGAUGCCCCUGUGACCCCACCUCAUGCUUUCACUCCUUUGUGUGGCCCCCUCCUCUGAGUGUGGGUGGGACCUGUAACUCGGCUUCUAACCCAUGGAUUAUGGCAAAGGUGAUGGAUGUCGGUGUCGCGGUCACGUGACAUUAGAUAAUUCUCUGUCUCUCUGGGCAGAGAUGCUCUUGGCUGGCCUGAAGUAAGAACAAUGGUGGGAAGCCCAAAUGGACAUGGAGACCUGCAGGUGACCUCUAGGGUCUGGGUGGCCUCCACCCAGCCAGGAGCCGCAGCCCCCAGUCCUGCAGCCACAAGGAGAUGCAUCUGCCAGCCUGGGUGACUUUAGAGCGCAUCCUUCCCAGCGGAGCCUCAGACGAGAGUGCAGCUAGGCUGACACCCUAAACGCAGCCUGGGGACCCUGAGCAGAAGACCCCGCUGAGUCAUGCCCACGCUCCUGACCACAGAAGCUGUCAGAUAAUAAGUGUGUGUUGUUUUAAGCCACCGAGUGUACGCUUAUCUGUCACGUAGCAAUAGAUAAUGACUACACCCACGUACACCAGCUUCAUCUUCUUUUAAUAUAUUUACCUUCAUUCUGAUAAUACAAAAAUACGUUAUUAUAGAAAAUAUGGAAAAGGUAAAAGUAUAAAGAAGAAAAUAAAAAUAGCCCACACUAUCUCAUGUUACUUAAGUGCUUACUAUGUGCCAGGCAGGUGACAGUGCACCGUCCCCAAUGCAAUCCUGGCAAGAGCCCCCUCGGGGAAUGAGGCUCAGAGAGGAUGAAAGGCUGGUCUGAAGUCAGAUGGCUGGUAAAGUAGGGGCCCGGGAGGCGAGCCAGUGUUGGCCUGAUUUUAUCGCCAGCACUUUCACCCACUGUAUCAGAGGUUCUCUGAGUUUUUUUGUGUUUGAGCCACACUUUCAGACAGAAUUUUGGCAGCAUACUUGAAGGGAUUUUAAGAUUUGAAAUGGCAUUACACAAAUCUGGGGGGGAAGAAACCCAUAACCAUGAUUACAUUUUAACAAUGUCUCCAAGAGUCCAUGAAAGCAUCCAGCUGUCACACAAUUUACUUGGUGGCCUCGCCUUUUUGUGUCUUUGUUUAAGUAGACUGCUUUCUAGCUGAGGCCGUAUUCUAAUGUAGACCCCUGAAGCAAACUUCGUGGGUUUUCCAGGAACGUGUCUUUGGCACUGGCUUGACUUUUGGCCACGCCAUUUACCUGUCACUUACAGCGACUAGCCUCUCACCCCACGCAGAGUUGUGCUCUGCUCUUUUCAUGACAACAAUGACAGCACGAGCUAACGCUCACUGAGCACUGAGUAUAUGGCCAUCACACUAAUGACGUCCAGUGAGGACCUGUGUUGGGAAGACUUGAGAAUGGCUCUGGCCUUGAUGUGUUUUAUAAAAUAAGAUUUGAUGUUUUCUUCCAUUAAAAUUAGCUGAUAUUUACACCCAGAGGGUGCCAAGCCCCACGCUAUAUUAUUUCAUUAUUAUGCACGGUUUCAUUUCAUCCUAGCACCAAUCCAGUGAAGGGUUCUUUUGUCCUCAUUUGGCAGGGAAGGAAAUGGAAGCUCGGGACGGUAAGUCGACCGCUCAGCCGGGUAAGCAGGAGCACGGCUUUGGGGUCAGGCGGUCUCCCCCGAGGGCGCGCUCUUAUCUGGCCUGCUGGACUCUUUCCCAUCAGGCCUUUGCCCUCCUUACAGUCUCAGACGUGCUUGCAGUAUUCAAGUUGGCGGGGUUGGUGCUUGCAGUAUUCGAGUUGGCAACUUUGUGAAGGAAUAAAUGCAGGUCGGGAGUCCAGGCACUAAAAACGUUCGUCCCCGCCUCUAACUUGUCCUUGUAAGGCCUUUUGCACCCCGUUGUUGUUCAGCAUCGACACCCUGGAUUUACUGGGUAGAGAGUCACAGUAGCAUUCCUGGGCUGGCUCCAGGCUUGAGGUCAGCUGGGACCCUGGGUGGUUCUUUGCAAAGGUAAGGGUCAGGUCUGGGGUUCUCUCAGCCUCCUCAAGCCUCCAGCCAAGUUCUCUGUCACUGCUGAUCUCCUUGGCACGAUGACACGUCUGAUCAGGCACACCGGAGAACGCCCACUUUGGCUUCAGAAGGGUCUACCUCCCACUCCCACCUGGAUUCAACUCUCGACCCCAUCCACGAGAGACCUAUUACCAGGAUUUCUUCUUGUAGGCCCUCGGGACUGGAAGAAAUCAUGCACUGCAGGCGCUCCCCUCUUCCAGAAUCUAAAAGCACAGUGCAGAAGCAAACCAACCCCAUCACCUAUCACCCUGUGGCAGUCCCUUGAUAAUGAUCCAAGAAAAUCCAUUUCCGUUGAAGGAUGCAUUGGAGAACUCGCCCUGUUCUCAAGGGCCACCAGCCGGAAGCAGAGCAGUAGGGAAUGCAAUGAUGCUUCGAAUAAGGCCUCUCUGUGGAUGGACAGCACCUGCGUGUUGGGCAAGGUGGAAUGUUAAUAACCUUGACCCCAGAUGGAAAUCUGCAAGGGUCAGACUCUGCCACACCCUUGGAGGCCUAUGUCUGACUGAGCUCCUACUGAGCUUUGGGCCACUUAGGCCCCUCCAUUGCUUUUUCAUCUGAAGACACAGGAAGGGUCAAGCCUCCAUCUUCUGAGAAUCAAUGGCCAAGGGGCACGGAGCGGGGAGAGGCUGGUUUUUAUCAUGAAUCUAUGAUUUUAUUUUCCACUGAACAUCACAAGAAUGGACCCUCUGAACCACCGCUCUUGCUGCUGCUGCUGCUGAUGAGCUCUGUUCUCCGUCACUGAAGAUCCAUCUUGUCCAUGUGAUAAGAAAUACAGCCCACGAAGCCUUGCAAGUCUGACCUUGUGUGGCCUUUGUUGCCCAAGAGGCAACAUACUCUCUGGUGCAAAGUUCAAUGUCCUGGGGAAGGGUUCCAGCUGAGCUAGCUGGGCUUGGCUUCUCACCUGGACCAAUCGGCUAGUGCCAGGGGGCAGGACCAUGAAGAACAUGGCAUCUCCAUCCUGCCAUGUUGGUGAAGCAGGAAGAAUAAGGGGGAAGCUUCUCCCAGAAGAACAGCUACACUGGAUAAGUGAAAAAUAAAUGUCUGUUCUAAGCAGUCUCUACAUCUCGCCUCCACUUCCUCACGCGAACUUACCCUCAACCACUUGCAAUCUAAUUUUUGCUCCCGCCACUCUACUGAGGCAGCUUUCUAAGUAAUCAACAGUGAUUUCAUAAUUAAUAAACCUGAUUGUCCCCUAGGAACUCCCAGUAUAAGAGUUGUCAACAUGGGGCUGGUUCUAGUUACAGCGCCCACUGCAGCAGAGGCCUCUUGGGUUUGUCUGUCCAACCUGGGAACCAAUGACCACCCUCUUCCCUGGAAACUUCCAUUUCUCCCAUAAAUAGGGGUGGGACAUGAUGCUUGUGUUAAAACCAUGUCAACCCAUCCCCUUGGUCACAGUUGAUUAAACCCAGGAUAAAUCUGACUUUAGCUUAGCCAAUCAAAUUGCAGGAAUUUGGAACUGAGAAUGUCAAUUGUUUGAGUGACUACACC